UUAGUUCCCAAGAAAAUGGACACUUUUGGAUUAUAAAGCAAUCAAAUGGACAACACAUAGGCUAUUACUCUGCCACCCGUUCACAUGUUACCAUCUCCUGCACUUAAUGUAUUUUUCAUUGCCAAUGGUACUAAGUAGGUGUGACUUACCUUAUGGACUCAUACGCUGUGCUUUUUCCAUAAUUUUACAGUACAUUCCCUUUAUGUAAUUUUGUAUUGACUUAGAAUUUUAGGAACUCCAUAGUAUAUGCUCAUUGCGCC
rnacentral:misc_RNA from 1 species